AGGAAGGAAGAAUUUGUUCUGGUACA
rnacentral:piRNA from 1 species